rnacentral:misc_RNA from 1 species
UUGUCUAUUUUUUGUAACACACCUUUGACCCAAAGUGUGUUAGGGCUUCUACUCAUUCAUAUUUUGUUCAUGACAGUGCACCAUACAUUUUGUUAUGUUUGAAUCUUAACAACUUUAAUUUUACUAACCAUAUUUGAGUUUAAUUAAAACGGUUCGAUCUAAUCAGUUUUAUAUAGUGCGAUUGGUAUUUUGGUGAACGUAGUCUCGACUUGUCAAAGGACAGUCAGGUUUAUCUUGUAGCAGAGGAUUAAUAUCAAUAUACUCAGUCACAUAGUUAGUAUUGUAUAUAAAUUACAAGACUAAAUAAAUAAUAUACAGGGCGACUCGUUUU